AACGAACGCUGGCGGCGUGGAUAAGACAUGCAAGUCGAACGCUAAUCACGGAGUAGCAAUAUUUCGUGGUUGGAGUGGCGCAAGGGUGCGUAACACGUGGGUAAUUUGCCGUGAAGCUCGGAAUAACUCGCUGAAAGGCGAGCUAAUACCGGAUGUGAUUAUUGGGAGGCAUCUCCCGAUUCUUAAAGCUGGGGACCGUAAGGCCUGGCACUUCACGAUAAGCCCGCGGCCUAUCAGCUAGUUGGUGAGGUAACGGCCCACCAAGGCUAAGACGGGUAGCUGGUCUGAGAGGACGACCAGUCACACUGGAACUGAGACACGGUCCAGACACCUACGGGUGGCAGCAGUCGAGAAUUUUUCUCAAUGGGCGAAAGCCUGAAGGAGCGACGCCGCGUGGGGGAUGAAUGGCUUCGGCCCGUAAACCCCUGUCAUUUGCGAACAAACCUUAUCAUUUAAAGAUGAUGAGCUGAUUGUAGCGAAAGAGGAAGGGACGGCUAAACU
rnacentral:rRNA from 1 species